UUUAUCUAUUCGAUUGACAGCAUUUAAUGCGAUUUCUUUUGCAACGUUUUUUUUUUCGCAUUGCACCGAAUUGAAGAUAUGAUCGUAAGCUGCUAAUCGAGUUCGAGGGUUCAAUUUUAAAUGUACGUAUUAUGGAUAAAAACCCUCUCAAAAAAAUAAACUUUUCACAAAAUGGGCGAGAUCAAGUCAACUCUCCAUAAGAUGAUGCAAUAUCUGGAAUAGGCCUACAGACGCCUACUUGUUUACAUUCAGUGCGAUUCUGCUAAUAAAAUACCUACAAAAUGAUACGACGAUUUUAAAAAAAGGUAAUAUACCUUCGCUAUUUAGUUCAUCGAGAUGAUCCAAUAGUUUUCCUGCUAUUUCGCUGCGCGAUAAUUUUCUUCCAUUUCCUACACUGAGACCUAGAUCUGCUAUGUCAUCUUGAUCGAAUACAUUAGGCGACAACGGCCGCAAAGGCUCCAGCGAAGAAUUCGCCGGUGGCCACUCCAUCAUUAAAUCUUCCAUUCUUAUUCUUCUUCGAUAAAUGAUUAAAUCCAAAAGAAUCCAAUUGCUGAUGCUUUGAUAUAGUCGACUGAGCGA